AGAAAAAAAAAAAAAAAAAACCAGUGUAUGAAGCAUCCAUGUCACAGACCCAUCCAGACUGUGUUCUGAGGCACAAAAGUUAGGACACGUGACCACGUUUUUACAAAGACUCAAAAGUCAGAGAGAGAGAGAAAUGGGAGUGGUAGGGAUGGGGAGAUGAAGGAGGAAAAAUGAAUUCAUGGAAACAGAAUUGUGUCAGGGGAUUAUAUGCAUUUACGAGGCAUUUAUUCCGUAUUGCCAAAUCUCCCUCAAGACAGGUAUUAUUUUCUUUACAAUUUUUUCUAACUGUUAAAAUAUUUAUUACAAUGUAAUGGGAAUUGUUUAUAUAGAGAGUCUGAAACUUCUCUUUGCCCCGUUUCUGUGUUUCAGACAGCAAAGGCAUAUAAAGCCAUGAAAAACUGCUAUAUACAUGGUCUCUUAUUUUAUUUUUAUAGAUAUCUAUUGAAAUCGAGACUCCUACCCAGAUAUCUUUAGUGGAUGAAGCAUCAGGAGAGGAGACUUCAGAUUGGUGCAAGGAGAAGCUGCUAGAAUGGAGCUUCUGUACUCCAGGGGCAGAGUCAAAGACAUCCAAAGUGUAUAUUUAGAUACUAUGUUGUGUGAUCCAAGAUUUUACCAAAUUCCAAGUCGGGUAAGUCUGCCUGGAGGAACAGGGUUAUCAUCUGGGUGUGCCUGUGGUUUUAGUAGGAAGUUUGUAGGGUGACAGGUCAUAUCCUAACUGUCCCUGUAGGUGUGAGUACCUGGGACUGUUGGGAAGCAAAAGGCUAUGUGCGGCUCUCCACCUGUUAAAUGUCUCUUUAAAAUCCUGUCUAGGAGGAGUGUUUAAGUGGAGUCUUAGAGCUGGUUCAAAGCUGGAUCACUCGGAGCCUGUACC
rnacentral:lncRNA from 1 species